UCAGUCUGGUACGGGUAAAACAGCUGCC
rnacentral:piRNA from 1 species